CACGGUCAAAAUACCGCGGCUCUUUAAAAAUACGCUCAGUGAGCAGGCCAGACCUCAAAAUAUAAACAAGAGGACAUGUUUUUGAUAAACAGGCGGAAAUCAAUUUUGCCUAGUUCCUUAUAAUAAGUUCACAAGGUAAAAAUUUCAUACAAAUAAAUAUACUAAUUCUAUCAUUAUUACAAAAAUUUUAAAAUUAAAUUAAUAAUCUUAAUAAAAAACCUAAAAUAUUUAUAAAAUCAAAAUAAAAAAUAAUGAACUAAAACGAAAUCUUAAAGAUAGCUGGUUUAAAGCUUACUAUUAUAUUUCUAUAAAAUAAAUUAUAGGUUAUUAACUUCAAAGCUUAUCCCUUAAAGAAUAAAUAAGUUAAUAUUUUUACUUAAAAAAUUAAAUAAAAACAAAUAACUUUAAAAAAUUAAAUUUUUUCUUAAGAAACUAGAUAUCUUGGGAAACGAUUAACAUCUCAUUUCUAUAAAUAAUUUAAUAAUAAUUAUGAUACAUUAACUAUAAAUUAUUUAUAAAUCAACCCAAAUCGAGACAAAUAAAAUAAAUACUAAAAUUUUGAUAAACCCUGAUACAAAAGGUACAAUAAAUAAAAUCUACUUAAAAAAA